GAAUCUGAUGGCGAAUAAGAGGACUGUAGCUAAUGGCUCAUCUGCACCAUGGAGAGGAGACGGUCGGCUACGCCUGCCUGACGGCAGGAGACUGCCUCUGCUGACACUUUGGCGUCUCCUCUGAUCCAUACAGCAGCGGAGGGAUGGAGAAACUGAGGCUCUGAGUGACUCAAAGAGCAGUGGAGUGACAGCGGUGGGUGUGACUCCAGGAUGUGCACACCGGCCCGCACCCCAAGCACACAGCCACCCCUGACGGACUGAUGAAGCAGAAGAACUAGAGAGAAGAGUUAGGGAGAACAGAAUUCAGCCAGGGGUUCUAGGAAGACACUGCCUCUUUGCACUCUCAGCCUCAAUGUCACCGUCUGUAAGCUGGGUAUGAUCUCCACCUAGUGGCACAUGAUGAAGAGUAAGUAGAAUGCGGCAGACACCAGGCAGCGCCCAACAGGGUCAGUCCCCUUCCCCACCACCUCCGCCAACAACUCUUCGAACACCCACCAGGCACCCACACUCUGCGAGAAACCAAAAGGCAAGAGAAAGAGAGUCAUCAGCUGAUCCAACUAGCAAAGACGAUGAAAGCACAUGAAACAGCCC